ACGUUGUUAGUAUAAUUUAUUAUGCUACUUUUCCAAAGUUGAUAUCUACUUUUUGUAGACAGCGUA
rnacentral:tRNA from 1 species